ensembl:lncRNA
CCAGGAUUUAUCGGGUCAGACAGAGUGUAAUCCCUGUCCUCCUGGGUUCCACUGCCAGUCACUGAGUUCCAGCCCCACCAGCCCUCUGCCCUGCCCAGCUGGCUACAUCUGUCCCAGGGAGAGUCCGGACAGACAACCUCUCCCCUGCCCCAAAGGCACCUACAGUCCCAAUCAGGGUCUCACCACCACAGGUAAAAAGCCAAAAAAACAUGUGAAUUUCCUUGUGCUGUUGUUUGGCUUUUUUUGCUGACUGAGAAGGAGAAUUAAUUGCUUGUUAGGGCAAGUGUUUCGUUUUGGAACAGUGAACUACUGAUUAUUCAAAUCCAAUUUUCCUUUCUAAUCUGCAUUAAUAAGAAAAGUUUGAAAAACCUACGAAACAAAACAAAAAAAGGACCCUCAUUUUUCUUCAAAUGAUCCUCCUUAAGUUAUUUUGCUCCCAGACUUGGACACUUGUAGCAGUGUGCAACCAUCUGAGACACUUGAUGAUUGAUCUCACCUGGCAGGUAGCUUGUUUUGCUGCUUGGACUGAGGUCAAAGCUGUCCAUCUGUGUUUGCAGGUGAGUGCCUGGCGUGUCCAGCGGGUCAGUUCUGUGGGUCUGAAGGUUUGGUCGAGCCGUCAGGAGUGUGUGCUGCCGGGUUUCUUUGUCUGAUGGGUGCCACGGUGCCCAACCCGACUGACAACAGAACUGGUUCUCUCUGUCCGCCUGGAGUUUUCUGCCGACAGGGGCAGAGAGCAGGUAGAUGGAAUAAAAGAGUCCUUGAGUGAUAUUGAGUAAUGUGUAGGUUUUUCCAGUGAGUUUCCAUUUGUUUUAAUGCAAUUUUGUGCUGAUUUGAUUUAUUUUUAAAGUUAGUAUCCUCCACAAAAAUGUGUUGUUUUUCAUUUUUGUGCCAAAGGAGAUUGCUUGGCAGGGUUUUACUGUGACUGGGGAUCCAGCAGAGCAGAUGAGGCUCUGUGCCCAGCUGGGUUUUUCUGCCCCAGUGGAACACCAGUCCCCAUGCCUUGUCCUGCAGGAACAUUCAGCUCUGAAACAGGCAACAUGCAUCAAGACAACUGCACCACCUGUACUCCUGGAUACUACUGUAAUGCUGAAGGCACUGUACAGCCUGCACUGUGUCCUGUGGGAUACUACUGUCCUCCAGGAGUGACUCUAGGACUGGAGUUCCCUUGUCCAGCUGGCACUGUGCAGAGCCAGCUCGGAGCCUCCAGUCCUCAGGCCUGCCUGCUCUGCCCUGCUGGUAUGGAAAAGAUUCUGUGUUUUGUUGUACAUCAUUAGAACCUAACCCGAAUUAAUCCUUUGUGCAUGUCAAAUCAGUGUGUUUUAAAUCCUCAUCACUUCAUUCUGUUGGUGUUUCCUGCAGGAAUGUUCUGUUCUCACCCUGGUCUGUCCGAGCCAACAGGACUCUGUGAGGCAGGAUUUUACUGCCCUGCUGGAUCAACCAGCCCGAACUCCACUGAGUACCAGGUGCUGUUCUUGUUCACUGUCGCUUCUGUCACCUGGUGACACUGAUUGAUCGAUCAUUUGUUCCCAGAGAAUGAUUCAUAAUGAUACUGGUGACCCAUUGACCUUUCAUUUAAUGAAAUAAGAAAGGAUGUUAAAGGUGCAGUAUGUAAGAAUUUUGUUUAAAGAACUGAAUUAACAUUAUCAAUAGAAUGUGAACAGUUUUGACAUAAUGUCAAAGACGUCUAUGUACUGUGUUGCAGAGAUAUCUAUUGAUGUUAUUCGAUAACCAGCUAGCCCUUUAGCCACUUUGUACCUCAACACCAACACUCCCCUUAAGUGGCCAGCCUGCAUUUGACGUAUUGCAUCUUUAAGAUUUCCGUAUUUCCCCAAGAAAUAUAAUCAGAAUCUGAGUAGAUGAUUGACUGAGCACAGUCUCUCAAUACUUUCCUUGUUUUACGGCCCAGUAUCAUUCUUCUAAAAGCACCAUUAGCUGAAAUGUCAAUUUACUGUAGCACACAAGAUAUAAAAAAUUAUUGCGUUUACUGGGAAAUUUGCUCUUGUUAUUAAUGGCUCUUUGACGAUGAGUCGCUUUUCCUCGAGAAUUAUUAAAAUCUAACUGUGAUGUUAUCAUUAAUUUUACGAAAGACAUUUCUGCUUUGAUUUUGGUCACAAAUAAGCUUUACUCAGUAUCCUUUAAGGCCAAAAAUGUUAGAACUCACACACACACACACACACACACACACACACACACACACACACACACACACACGCACACACACACACGCACGCACACACACACACACACACACACACACACACACAUACACACACAUACACACACAUGACAUAUUGUAUAAUCAAAAGGGGACUAAAGCCAUAUUGCUGAGCACAUUCAAACUCUCAUGGGAAUAUUUUGUUUUGAUGUAAUGACCGCAUGACCCCCUCCACAUCAUAUUUUUAGUCCCACUCCAUGGAAGGCUCUUUAAGCGCUUUUGUAUUGUGCAGUGUAAUAAACAUUUCAGCCUCUAGAGACCUCAGGGCAUUAGUAACCAU